UCUGGGUUUAUCCCAGCGGUCUCGUUAGAAAGGUGUAACUAACGACGAGGGUUGCGCUCGUUGCGGGACUUAACCCAACACCUCACGGCACGAGCUGACGACAGCCAUGCAGCACCUGUGCUAGCUCCCCGAAGGGUCCUUCAUCUUUCGAAUCCGUACCACUAGCAUGUCAAACCCAGGUAAGGUUCUUCGCGUUGCCUCGAAUUAAACCACACGCUCCGCUGCUUGUGCGGGCCCCCGCCUAUUCCUUUGAGUUUUAACCUUGCGGCCGUAGUCCCCAGGCGGUGAACUUAAUGCGUUAGCUGCGGCACUGAUCGGGUCAAUCCGACCAACACCUAGUUCACAACGUUUAGGGCGUGGACUAC
rnacentral:misc_RNA from 1 species